UACGAAGGGGGCUAGCGUUGCUCGGAAUCACUGGGCGUAAAGCGCACGUAGGCGGACUCUUAAGUCGGUGGUGAAAUCCUGGAGCUCAACUCCAGAACUGCCUUCGAUACUGGGAGUCUUGAGUCCGGGAGAGGUGAGUGGAACUGCGAGUGUAGAGGUGAAAUUCGUAGAUAUUCGCAAGAACACCAGUGGCGAAGGCGGCUCACUGGCCCGGUACUGACGCUGAGGCACGAAAGCGUGGGGAGCAAACAGG
rnacentral:rRNA from 1 species